rnacentral:rRNA from 1 species
GACGAACGCUGGCGGCGUGCUUAACACAUGCAAGUCGAACGGAAAGGCCCUGCUUUUGUGGGGUGCUCGAGUGGCGAACGGGUGAGUAACACGUGAGUAACCUGCCCUUGACUUUGGGAUAACUUCAGGAAACUGGGGCUAAUACCGGAUAGGAGCUCCUGCUGCAUGGUGGGGGUUGGAAAGAUUCGGCGGUUGGGGAUGGACUCGCGGCUUAUCAGCUUGUUGGUGGGGUAGUGGCUUACCAAGGCAUGGACGGGUAGCCGGCCUGAGAGGGUGACCGGCCACAUUGGGACUGGGAUACGGCCCAGACUCCUACGGGAGGCAGCAGUGGGGAACAUUGCACGAUGGGCGGAAGCCGGAUGCAGCGACGCCGCGUGCGGGAUGACGGCCUUCGGGUUGUAAACCGCUUUCGCCUGUGACGAAGCGUGAGUGACGGUAAUGGGUAAAGAAGCACCGGCUAACUACGUG